rnacentral:rRNA from 1 species
AUACGUAGGGUGCGAGCGUUGUCCGGAAUUACUGGGCGUAAAGAGCUCGUAGGUGGUUUGUCGCGUCGUCUGUGAAAUUCCGGGGCUUAACUCCGGGCGUGCAGGCGAUACGGGCAUAACUUGAGUACUGUAGGGGAGACUGGAAUUCCUGGUGUAGCGGUGAAAUGCGCAGAUAUCAGGAGGAACACCGGUGGCGAAGGCGGGUCUCUGGGCAGUAACUGACACUGAGGCGCGAAAGCAUGGGUAGCGAACAGGAUUAGAUACCCUGGUAGUCCAUGCCGUAAACGGUGGGCGCUAGGUGUAGGGGUCUUCCACGACUUCUGUGCCGUAGCUAACGCAUUAAGCGCCCCGCCUGGGGAGUACGGCCGCAAGGCUAAAACUCAAAUGAAUUGACGGGG